rnacentral:rRNA from 1 species
GAUGAACGCUGGCGGCGUGCCUAAUACAUGCAAGUCGAGCGAACAGAUGAGGAGCUUGCUCCUCUGACGUUAGCGGCGGACGGGUGAGUAACACGUGGAUAACCUACCUAUAAGACUGGGAUAACUUCGGGAAACCGGAGCUAAUACCGGAUAAUAUAUUGAACCGCAUGGUUCAAUAGUGAAAGACGGUUUUGCUGUCACUUAUAGAUGGAUCCGCGCCGCAUUAGCUAGUUGGUAAGGUAACGGCUUACCAAGGCAACGAUGCGUAGCCGACCUGAGAGGGUGAUAGGCCACACUGGAGCUGGACCACGGUCCAGACUCCUACGGGAGGCAGCAGUAGGGAAUCUUCCGCAGUGGGCGAAAGCCUGACGGAGCAACGCCGCGUGAGUGAUGAAGGUCUUCGGAGCGUAAAACUCUGUUAUUAGGGAAGAACAAAUGUGUAAGUAACUAUGCACGUCUUGACGGUACCUAAUCAGAAAGCCACGGCUAACUACGUG